rnacentral:rRNA from 1 species
AUUGAACGCUGGCGGCAUGCCUUACACAUGCAAGUCGAACGGCAGCACGGGUGCUUGCACCUGGUGGCGAGUGGCGAACGGGUGAGUAAUAAAUCGGAACAUGUCCUGUAGUGGGGGAUAGCCCGGCGAAAGCCGGAUUAAUACCGCAUACGAUCCACGGAUGAAAGCGGGGGACCUUCGGGCCUCGCGCUAUAGGGUUGGCCGAUGGCUGAUUAGCUAGUUGGUGGGGUAAAGGCCUACCAAGGCGACGAUCAGUAGCUGGUCUGAGAGGACGACCAGCCACACUGGGACUGAGACACGGCCCAGACUCCUACGGUAGGCAGCAGUGGGGAAUUUUGGACAAUGGGCGAAAGCCUGAUCCAGCAAUGCCGCGUGUGUGAAGAAGGCCUUCUGGUUGUAAAGCUCUUUUGUCCGGAAAGAAAUCCUUGACUCUAAUACAGUCGGGGGAUGACGGUACCGGAAGAAUAAGCACCGGCUAACUACGUG